rnacentral:rRNA from 13 species
CGAAUGGCUCAUUAAAUCAGUUAUCGUUUAUUUGAUAAUACCUUACUACUUGGAUAACCGUGGUAAUUCUAGAGCUAAUACAUGCUGAAAAUCCCGACUUCGGAAGGGAUGUGUUUAUUAGAUAAAAAACCAAUGCCCUUCGGGGCUUUUUGGUGAUUCAUGAUAACUUUACGGAUCGCAUAGCCUUGCGCUGGCGACGGUUCAUUCAAAUUUCUGCCCUAU